rnacentral:rRNA from 1 species
CGACCGGCACGGGUGAGUAACGCGUAUCCAACCUGCCCUUUACUAUGGGACAGCCCGUCGAAAGGCGGAUUAAUACCGUAUGUUGUCAUGUUGAUGCAUAUUUUCAUGACCAAAGGCUUCGGCCGGUAAAGGAUGGGGAUGCGUCUGAUUAGCUUGCCGGCGGGGUAACGGCCCACCGGGGCGACGAUCAGUAGGGGUUCUGAGAGGAAGGUCCCCCACAUUGGAACUGAGACACGGUCCAAACUCCUACGGGAGGCAGCAG